rnacentral:sRNA from 2 species
CUGACGCGCAAGUUUGGCCAUAGGCGGAUCGACCCGACUGAGAUAUUUGAUUAUGGCUUGGAUGGAUAAACCCAUACUGUAUAAAUCCAGGCCAUAAAAGCCAGCUCGCCUCUCUUUGGGGAGGUGUGCGUUAUGAUCUCUCAUCCAAUGUACAAACUCUUGCAUUUCCUUGUUACGCCACAUCCACGUCGGAAAGCGCCUGAACGCCGGCUCUGGGGAGGGAUCCAAUUUUGAUUUAACACCGGGGCGCAGUCUCACAUACCGAUCGACCGAUUCUGCAUCGGGCCAGUCGGCUUCCACAGCUACUGUGUCAAAGCCGUGAUGUUCAAUAAGGUGCUUGGUAAUCUCUGCACGAGCCUGGUAGAACUCGGAAGUACCAUGACUGCCGUCACCUAUUAGAACAACUUUGUAAUCCCCAAACUGAUCAAAAUUGGAUCCAAAAGACGUGUUAAUAAUUGGCGGUAGAACCUUUGCGGCAGACUUCAUGCGUGAUGAGAGCAUUGAAAGCUGGGAAGCCA